CUGCAAGUCGAACGCUUCCUGAGUGGCUUGCCAUUCAGGAAGAGUGGCGAACGGGUGAGUAACACGUGAGUAAUCUUCCCUCGAGUGAGGAACAACCCCGCGAAAGCGGGGCUAAUACCGCAUAAUACUCUGGGGUAUAAGCUUUCAGAGUCAAAGCCGCAAGGCGCUUGAGGAUGAGCUUGCGUCCUAUUAGCUAGUUGGUAGGGUAACGGCCUACCAAGGUAAUGAUGGGUAGCCGGCCUGAGAGGGUGUACGGCCACACUGGGACUGGGACACGGCCCAGACUCCUACGGGAGGCAGCAGUGAGGAAUUUUGCGCAAUGGGCGAAAGCCUGACGCAGCGACGCCGCGUGGAGGAUGAAGGCCUUCGGGUUGUAAACUCCUGUCAGAGGAGAAGAAAUCCCGAGUAAUCGGGUUUGACGUAUCC
rnacentral:rRNA from 1 species